rnacentral:rRNA from 1 species
GACGAACGCUGGUGGCGUGCUUAACACAUGCAAGUCGAACGGAAAGGCCCUGCUUUUGUGGGGUGCUCGAGUGGCGAACGGGUGAGUAACACGUGAGUAACCUGCCCUUGACUUUGGGAUAACUUCAGGAAACUGGGGCUAAUACCGGAUAGGAGCUCCUGCUGCAUGGUGGGGGUUGGAAAGUUUCGGCGGUUGGGGAUGGACUCGCGGCUUAUCAGCUUGUUGGUGGGGUAGUGGCUUACCAAGGCUUUGACGGGUAGCCGGCCUGAGAGGGUGACCGGCCACAUUGGGACUGAGAUACGGCCCAGACUCCUACGGGAGGCAGCAGUGGGGAAUAUUGCACAAUGGGCGGAAGCCUGAUGCAGCAACGCCGCGUGCGGGAUGACGGCCUUCGGGUUGUAAACCGCUUUCGCCUGCGACGAAGCGUGAGUGACGGUAAUGGGUAAAGAAGCACCGGCUAACUACGUG